GACGAACGCUGGCGGCGUGCUUAACACAUGCAAGUCGAACGGAAAGGCCCUGCUUUUGUGGGGUGCUCGAGUGGCGAACGGGUGAGUAACACGUGAGUAACCUGCCCUUGACUUUGGGAUAACUUCAGGAAACUGGGGCUAAUACCGGAUAGGAGCUCCUGCUGCAUGGUGGGGGUUGGAAAGUUUCGGCGGUUGGGGAUGGACUCGCGGCUUAUCAGCUUGUUGGUGGGGUAGUGGCUUACCAAGGCUUUGACGGGUAGCCGGCCUGAGAGGGUGACCGGCCACAUUGGGGCUGAGCUACGGCCCAGACUCCUACGGGAGGCAGCAGUGGGGAAUAUUGCACAAUGGGCGGAAGCCUGAUGCAGCAACGCCGCGUGCGGGAUGACGGCCUUCGGGUUGUAAACCGCUUUCGCCUGUGACGAAGCGUGAGUGACGGUAAUGGGUAAAGAAGCACCGGCUAACUACGUG
rnacentral:rRNA from 1 species